UAAUAAGUGUUUUAUGGCACUUUUUAAAUCCAUAUCCACCUCGUGUGCAAUGUCAGUCGAUCUUCUUCAUGGAGAUCGACCAAACAUCAACCUUUAUCUUUUAACUCUUUGUCUUAAAAAUAUUAUGAAUAAACAAUUCAAAAUA
rnacentral:misc_RNA from 1 species